AGAGUUUGAUCCUGGCUCAGGAUGAACGCUAGCGGCAGGCUUAAUACAUGCAAGUCGAGGGGCAGCGCGUUUUAGCAAUAAGAUGGCGGCGACCGGCAAACGGGUGCGGAACACGUACACAACUUUCCUUUAACUGAGAAAUAACCCUGGGAAACUAGGACUAAUAUCUCAUAGCAUAGCGAAGUGGCAUCACUUUGUUA
rnacentral:rRNA from 1 species